rnacentral:rRNA from 1 species
UACGGGGGGAGCAAGCGUUGUUCGGAUUUACUGGGCGUAAAGGGCGCGUAGGCGGUCAGCACAAGUCAGUUGUGAAAUCUCCGGGCUUAACUCGGAAAGGUCAACUGAUACUGUGCGACUAGAGUGCAGAAGGGGCAACUGGAAUUCUCGGUGUAGCGGUGAAAUGCGUAGAUAUCGAGAGGAACACCUGCGGCGAAGGCGGGUUGCUGGGCUGACACUGACGCUGAUGCGCGAAAUCCAGGGGAGCGAACGGG